rnacentral:rRNA from 1 species
GACGAACGCUGGCGGCGUGCUUAACACAUGCAAGUCGAACGGAAAGGCCCUGCUUUUGUGGGGUGCUCGAGUGGCGAACGGGUGAGUAACACGUGAGUAACCUGCCCUUGACUUUGGGAUAACUUCAGGAAACUGGGGCUAAUACCGGAUAGGAGCUCCUGCUGCAUGGUGGGGGUUGGAAAGUUUCGGCGGUUGGGGAUGGACUCGCGGCUUAUCAGCUUGUUGGUGGGGUAGUGGCUUACCAAGGCUUUGACGGGUAGCCGGCCUGAGAGGGUGACCGGCCACAUUGGGCCUGCGAUACGGCCCAGUCUCCUACGGGAGGCAGCAGUGGGGAAUAUUGCACAAUGGGCGGAAGCCUGAUGCAGCAACGCCGCGUGCGUGAUGACGGCCUUCGGGUUGUAAACCGCUUUCGCCUGUGACGAAGCGUGAGUGACGGUAAUGGGUAAAGAAGCACCGGCUAACUACGUG